rnacentral:rRNA from 3 species
ACGCUGGCGGCAGGCCUAACACAUGCAAGUCGAACGGUAACAGGAAGCAGCUUGCUGCUUUGCUGACGAGUGGCGGACGGGUGAGUAAUGUCUGGGAAACUGCCUGAUGGAGGGGGAUAACUACUGGAAACGGUGGCUAAUACCGCAUAACGUCGCAAGACCAAAGAGGGGGACCUUCGGGCCUCUUGCCAUCAGAUGUGCCCAGAUGGGAUUAGCUUGUUGGUGAGGUAACGGCUCACCAAGGCGACGAUCCCUAGCUGGUCUGAGAGGAUGACCAGCCACACUGGAACUGAGACACGGUCCAGACUCCUACGGGAGGCAGCAGUGGGGAAUAUUGCACAAUGGGCGCAAGCCUGAUGCAGCCAUGCCGCGUGUAUGAAGAAGGCCUUCGGGUUGUAAAGUACUUUCAGCGGGGAGGAAGGUGUUGUGGUUAAUAACCGCAGCAAUUGACGUUACCCGCAGAAGAAGCACCGGCUAACUCCGUGCCAGCAGCCGCGGUAAUACGGAGGGUGCAAGCGUUAAUCGGAAUUACUGGGCGUAAAGCGCACGCAGGCGGUCUGUCAAGUCGGAUGUGAAAUCCCCGGGCUCAACCUGGGAACUGCAUUCGAAACUGGCAGGCUUGAGUCUUGUAGAGGGGGGUAGAAUUCCAGGUGUAGCGGUGAAAUGCGUAGAGAUCUGGAGGAAUACCGGUGGCGAAGGCGGCCCCCUGGACAAAGACUGACGCUCAGGUGCGAAAGCGUGGGGAGCAAACAGGAUUAGAUACCCUGGUAGUCCACGCCGUAAACGAUGUCUACUUGGAGGUUGUGCCCUUGAGGCGUGGCUUCCGGAGCUAACGCGUUAAGUAGACCGCCUGGGGAGUACGGCCGCAAGGUUAAAACUCAAAUGAAUUGACGGGGGCCCGCACAAGCGGUGGAGCAUGUGGUUUAAUUCGAUGCAACGCGAAGAACCUUACCUGGUCUUGACAUCCACAGAAGAAUCCAGAGAUGGAUUUGUGCCUUCGGGAACUGUGAGACAGGUGCUGCAUGGCUGUCGUCAGCUCGUGUUGUGAAAUGUUGGGUUAAGUCCCGCAACGAGCGCAACCCUUAUCCUUUGUUGCCAGCGGUUAGGCCGGGAACUCAAAGGAGACUGCCAGUGAUAAACUGGAGGAAGGUGGGGAUGACGUCAAGUCAUCAUGGCCCUUACGACCAGGGCUACACACGUGCUACAAUGGCGCAUACAAAGAGAAGCGACCUCGCGAGAGCAAGCGGACCUCAUAAAGUGCGUCGUAGUCCGGAUUGGAGUCUGCAACUCGACUCCAUGAAGUCGGAAUCGCUAGUAAUCGUGGAUCAGAAUGCCACGGUGAAUACGUUCCCGGGCCUUGUACACACCGCCCGUCACACCAUGGGAGUGGGUUGCAAAAGAAGUAGGUAGCUUAACCUUCGGGAGGGCGCUUACCACUUUGUGAUUCAUGACUGGGGUGAAGUCGUAACAAGGUAACCGUAGGGGAACCUGCGGUUGGA